rnacentral:rRNA from 2 species
ACUGCUGCCUCCCGUAGGAGUAGGGGGAAUCUUCCACAAUGGACGAAAGUCUGAUGGAGCAACGCCGCGUGAAUGAAGAAGGCCUUCGGGUCGUAAAAUUCUGUUGUCAGAGAAGAACGUGCGUGAGAGUAACUGUUCACGUAUUGACGGUAUCUGACCAGAAAGCCACGGCUAACUACGUGCCAGCAGCCGCGGUAAUAC